GAUGAACGCUGGCGGCGUGCCUAAUACAUGCAAGUCGAGCGAACGGACGAGAAGCUUGCUUCUCUGAUGUUAGCGGCGGACGGGUGAGUAACACGUGGAUAACCUACCUAUAAGACUGGGAUAACUUCGGGAAACCGGAGCUAAUACCGGAUAAUAUUUUGAACCGCAUGGUUCAAAAGUGAAAGACGGUCUUGCUGUCACUUAUAGAUGGAUCCGCGCUGCAUUAGCUAGUUGGUAAGGUAACGGCUUACCAAGGCAACGAUGCAUAGCCGACCUGAGAGGGUGAUCGACCACACUGGAACUGAGACACGGUCCAGACUCCUACGGGAGGCAGCAGUAGGGAAUCUUCCGCAAUGGGCGAAAGCCUGACGGAGCAACGCCGCGUGAGUGAUGAAGGUCUUCGGAUCGUAAAACUCUGUUAUUAGGGAAGAACAUAUGUGUAAGUAACUGUGCACAUCUUGACGGUACCUAAUCAGAAAGCCACGGCUAACUACGUGCCAGCAGCCGCGGUAAUACGUAGGUGGCAAGCGUUAUCCGGAAUUAUUGGGCGUAAAGCGCGCGUAGGCGGUUUUUUAAGUCUGAUGUGAAAGCCCACGGCUCAACCGUGGAGGGUCAUUGGAAACUGGAAAACUUGAGUGCAGAAGAGGAAAGUGGAAUUCCAUGUGUAGCGGUGAAAUGCGCAGAGAUAUGGAGGAACACCAGUGGCGAAGGCGACUUUCUGGUCUGUAACUGACGCUGAUGUGCGAAAGCGUGGGGAUCAAACAGGAUUAGAUACCCUGGUAGUCCACGCCGUAAACGAUGAGUGCUAAGUGUUAGGGGGUUUCCGCCCCUUAGUGCUGCAGCUAACGCAUUAAGCACUCCGCCUGGGGAGUACGACCGCAAGGUUGAAACUCAAAGGAAUUGACGGGGACCCGCACAAGCGGUGGAGCAUGUGGUUUAAUUCGAAGCAACGCGAAGAACCUUACCAAAUCUUGACAUCCUUUGACAACUCUAGAGAUAGAGCCUUCCCCUUCGGGGGACAAAGUGACAGGUGGUGCAUGGUUGUCGUCAGCUCGUGUCGUGAGAUGUUGGGUUAAGUCCCGCGACGAGCGCAACCCUUAAGCUUAGUUGCCAUCAUUAAGUUGGGCACUCUAAGUUGACUGCCGGUGACAAACCGGAGGAAGGUGGGGAUGACGUCAAAUCAUCAUGCCCCUUAUGAUUUGGGCUACACACGUGCUACAAUGGACAAUACAAAGGGCAGCGAAACCGCGAGGUCAAGCAAAUCCCAUAAAGUUGUUCUCAGUUCGGAUUGUAGUCUGCAACUCGACUACAUGAAGCUGGAAUCGCUAGUAAUCGUAGAUCAGCAUGCUACGGUGAAUACGUUCCCGGGUCU
rnacentral:rRNA from 1 species